GAGAUCUAAUCUUUCGGGAUUAGUGAAAGUGGCGCACGGGUGCGUAACGCGUAUGCAACCUACCCUUAACAGGGGGAUAGCCCGGAGAAAUCCGGAUUAAUACCCCAUAGUAUCACCAGAAGGCAUCUGAAGGUGAUUAAAGAUUUAUCGGUUAAGGAUGGGCAUGCGUGACAUUAGCUAGUUGGUGAGGUAACGGCUCGCCAAGGCAACGAUGUCUAGGGGUUCUGAGAGGAUGAUCCCCCACACUGGUACUGAGAUACGGACCAGACUCCUACGGGAGGCAGCAGUAGGGAAUAUUGGUCAAUGGGCGAGAGCCUGAACCAGCCAUGCCGCGUGCAGGAAGACGGCCUUCUGGGUUGUAAACUGCUUUUAUACAGGAACAAAUAGUCCAUGCGUGGAAAGUUGAGUGUACUGUAUGAAUAAGCACCGGCUAACUCCGUGCCAGCAGCCGCGGUAAGACGGAGGGGGCUAGCGUUGUUCGGAAUUACUGGGCGUAAAGCGCGCGUAGGCGGCGGUUCAAGUUGGGCGUGAAAGCCCGGGG
rnacentral:rRNA from 1 species